GUGAGGAAUAUUGCGCAAUGGAGGCAACUCUGACGCAGCCAUGCCGCGUGCAGGAAGAAGGCGCUACGCGUUGUAAACUGCUUUUAACCGGGAAGAAACCCCAGGACGUGUCCUGGGUUGACGGUACCGGAGGAAUAAGCACCGGCUAACUUCGUGCCAGCAGCCGCGGUAAUACGAAGGGUGCAAGCGUUAUCCGGAUUCAUUGGGUUUAAAGGGUGCGUAGGCGGAGCGUUAAGUCAGUGGUGAAAUCCUGCAGCUUAACUGUAGACUUGCAAUUGAUACUGGCGCUCUUGAGUGCGCUUGAAGUGGGCGGAAUGUGCCGUGUAGCGGUGAAAUGCUUAGAUAUGGCACAGAACACCAAUUGCGAAGGCAGCUCACUAAGGCGAUACUGACGCUGAGGCACGAAAGCGUGGGGAUCGAACAGGAUUAGAUACCCCUGUAGUCC
rnacentral:rRNA from 1 species